rnacentral:lncRNA from 1 species
CCAUACUAGAAUGGAGUGAAACUGAGUUUUCACAGCUAAAAACUCCUGACUCCAGUCCAGUGCUUUAACCACAACGAUUAUUUGGAACUCAAGAUUCUAAUUGAUAAUAAAAUCAGGCUUCUUCCACUUAGGAAAGCUUAUGAGAUGCAAAGAACCAUGAAAAGUAUGCUCAACUUUUCUAGUCCAUAGGAAACUAUUUCUACAUAAUCAGAACACUCUUGGAGUCUGGAGGGGCCAUAUCACAUAGUUCUGGCCAAAGAGAUGUAGGCAAAGUCCCUUGGAUGUGCUUUAUUCAGCAUUUGAGUUGUUUUGGAAGGGAAAAUGUUCUGGCUAUCUAAUUCACUGUAUCACUGAAAACAGAAAUAGUCAAGCUGGUUUAUUUUUAGCCAAAGCUAAUUUCCAGAUUGCUCUGCAGAAAGUGAGUCCUUUUUAACUCAUUUAACAGACAUCAAUUGAGCAACUACUAUUUGCCAAAAACUCUGCUAGGAGCUAGCGUGGAAUGUAAGCCUAAGUAAGACAUGAUGUUGGUUCCCAGGAGCCCAGGAGACAGACAUGCAAACAAAUAAUUAUAACGCACUCUGGGAAAAGCUGUAACAGACUCUAUGCAAGGUGCAUGGGAGCUCAGAGCAAGCAGUAAUUAGUUUGGCUGCUGAGUUAGGAAAGACCUCAAGGAGAGGCAGCAUCUGAAAUAACAUCACAGAUGGAUGGGUCCAGAUAUGUUGAGCAUUUUUUCAUAUAUUUUUGGCCACAAGUGUGCCUUUUUUGAGAAGUGUCUGUUCAUGUUCUUUGCAUACUUUUUAAUGGGGUUGUUUUUUUCUUGUAAAUUUGUUUAAGUUCCUUAUAGAUGCUAGAUAUUACAACUUUAGUUUUCAGGGGGAAUGCUUCCAGAUUUUGCCCAUGCAGUAUGAUAUUGGUUGUGGGUUUAUCAUAAAUGGCUCUUAAUAUUUUGAGGUAUGUUCCUUCAAUACCUAGUUUAUUGAGAGUUUUUAACAUGAAGGGAUGUUGAAUUUUACCAAGGCCUUUACUUUGUUCAUUGAGAUAAUCAUGUGGUUUUUGUCUUUAGUUUUUUAUGUGAUGAAUCACAUUUAUUGAUUUGAAUAUGUUGAACCAGCAUUGCAUCCAGAGAUGAAGCCUACUUGAUCAUGGCGGAUAAGCUUUUUGAUGUGCUGCUGGAUUUGGUUUGCCAGUAUUUUGCUGAGGAGUUUUACACUGAUGUUCAUAAAGGAUAUUGGACUGAAGUUUUUUCUUUUUCUUUUUUUUUUUUUUUUUUUUUUUGUUGUUGUUGUAUCUCUGCCAGGUUUUAGUAUCAGGAUAAUGCUGGCCUCACAGAAUGAGUUAGGAAGGCAUUCCUCCUUUUCAGUUUUUCAGAAUAGUUUCAGUAGGAAUGGUACCAGCUCUUCUUUAUACCUCUGGAAGUGUUCAGCUAUAAAUCCAUCUGGUCGUGGGCUUUUCUUGGUUUGUAGGUUAUUACCGCCUCAAUGUCAGAACUCAUUAUUGGUCUAUUCAGGGAUUCAAUUUCUUCCUGGUUCGGUCUUGGGAGGGUGUAUGUGUCCAGGAGUUUAUCCAUUUCUUCUAGAUUUUCUAGUUUAUGUGCAUAGAGGUGUUUACAGUAUUCUCUGAUGGUUGUUUGUAUGAUUUUCUUAGAAACAUUGUCUUUUCUCUAGCUUACUUUAUUAUGACUACAAUAUAUAAUAUAUAUUAUAUACAAAAUAUGUGUUAAUCAACUAUGUUAUCAGUAAAGCUUCUGGUCAACAGUAGGCUAUUUGUAGUUAAGUUUUUGAGAGUAAAAAGUUUUAUGCAGAAUUUUGACGGUACAGGGGGUCAGUCAGUACCCUAAUCUUCAUGUUGUUCAAGGGUCAACUGUAAUUCGUAUCUUGCCUUUUUUCAGAAAGAAUUUAGGUUGACUCACAAAAAUAGGUAAAAUAUAUCAAAGGAAUAUAAAUCAG